rnacentral:rRNA from 1 species
GUGGGGAAUCUUCCGCAAUGGACGAAAGUCUGACGGAGCGACGCCGCGUGAGUGAAGAAGGCCUUCGGGUCGUAAAGCUCUGUCAUCAGGGACGAAUGGCCGGUGGAGUGGAAAGCCACCGGAUUGACGGUACCUGAGAAGGAAGCCACGGCUAACUACGUGCCAGCAGCCGCGGUAAUACGUAGGUGGCAAGCGUUGUCCGGAAUUAUUGGGCGUAAAGCGCGCGCAGGUGGGAUCUUAAGUCCAUUUUGAAAGUUCGGAGCUCAACUCCGUGAUGGGAUGGAAACUGGGAUUCUUGAGUACCGGAGAGGAAAGCGGAAUGCCCCGUGUAGCGGUGAAAUGCGUAGAUAUGGGGAGGAACACCAGUGGCGAAGGCGGCUUUCUGGACGGUGUCUGACACUGAGGCGCGAAAGCCAGGGGAGCGAACGGGAUUAGAUACCCGAGUAGUCC